AAAAAAACUGCCGAACGUGUGGGUGACGGCUGUUAAUCUUGGAAUAUCAGAGGACAAGAGUACAUCCUCAAGGAAGAUUGGUGUCUUGUUUCGAUAAGAAAACACAAAUUUGUUAAAAUUUUAAGGGUAAAUAGGAAAGAAACAGAAACAGGUGGUGAGGCCUUCAACCCACUGAGGUGGGGAGGAAAAGAAUCCAUAAAAUGUGUUCCAUCCAGCAAACUUCGGAAAUGGAGGGGGAAGGAGGAAACAAGGACCUCGUCAAGUUUCCUCAAGUUGGGUGUCAUCUCUCCCGUUUGGCACUGGGAUGUGCGAGCCUGGAGGUUGCUCUACGUGAGGCUUGAGGAUGGAAGCAGACUCCAGCCUGAGUUCUUUUCAGGAGGAAGAUCCACCCUUUCUGCAGCUUGUCCAAGACGGUGAGACAUGGGAGCUCCCUCGCUCUGCCCUUGCCUGUGUGUUCUUCUCGGCAAUAAUGUCGUCCCAUGUGCGAUGGGGUGGCCUGUGUCCCAUCCCAUGGGAUGACUCAAGGAAAAUGAAAGCCACGAGCACUUCA